UGCACAAAAAAGCACCCAAUUAAACUAUAGUCCUAUAUUAGUAAUAAAAACUCCCUUUCACUGCACCUUGAGGUUUCUGUUACUCGCUGCCUUUAGGAAUAUUGUUUUACUUAUGUUUAUUUUUGAUCAUAAUGUUUUAAUUAGACAUUACAGAUCUUACUCGUGCUCGCACUCUAUCAGCGCGUCUACACCGCGCGUGAUCAGCAACGCGGCCUCGUUACUAACACAUCACUUCCGUUAUAAUAAACAAAAGAAUUUACACUGCAAGCGUGCAAAUACAACAUAUAAUGACAAUUAUCUGAAACCUUUUAAGCAGCUUGCACCAGUUUCCCCUUCCCCUUACACACAGUGGAGUAUUUUCGAACAUACGUUUGUCCUCGUGCAUCAGUUUGAUUUCCACGGUGUUUAAAAUGCUCCCCUUAGAGGACUUGGAGACUUAACCCUAGUGGAAUGCAUAGCAGGUGGAAGGAAGGAUAUUUUGUGAAAGAAGACUUUUCGCAUUGUGUCAGAAGUGCUGUUGAAAGUGGAGAUAGGAGGAGUGCAGAAAUAUAUUAAAGUUCCACAGACUGAUGAAUUCUUUCAAUUUGAGAAGUUCCUUCAAGAAGUAACAGAUAAGUUUAGUCUGCAGCCAGACAGUUUCAGUGAGGGCCAGCUCUCAGUCACUGAUGUGUCAGGAACAGAGGUGGAAGGAGAUGUCUUUGAUGAACUUGUCAAGUCAGGUGUCUUGACCUUCAAGGUCCCUUUACCAGUAAUGGAUCUGGAUGUUCAGCUGGUCUCAGAUCAAGCAUCUUCCUCUGUACUGACUCCACUAUCCCCAGCUUCAUCCCAUUCAUCAGAUUCCACAAUUGUCCUUGAGUCCACAAGAAAGAGGAGGAAUCCAACAGGGUUAAUGGACCGGAAUGAAGCAAGACAGUUAAGCUUUGAAUAAAUGCAUUUAAACUCCUCAAUUACAUAAUUGUUUAUUAUUGAUACUUAUCUGUAGAAGUGUUUUGUAAAUGUAUUCUCGGCAUAAAGGAAAGGCAUUAAAAAUCCUCUUAAAUUUACAUACAAUUACAUACAUCUUACAUACCAAUGUAAGAUGUUUUGGCAGAAAGUUGAUUGUGCUCUGAGGGCCAAUCCAAAGGGUGAGGAAAUCUUCAAGGAGUAUGAAAAGACCAAAACACUAACAGAUACCACACAUAAAAAGAUGGUGAACGUCCUGGUUGCAGACAUGUUAGAGCUACAUGGGUAAGAAAUGGAGGUCACUUCCCUCCCUUUGUCAUCACAACGUAUUCAUGUGGCGCAGCUAAAGAAUGAUAUUCUGUGUUGGUGGAAAAGGGGCAUUUAUUCUUUAACUUCUUGCAAAACAUACAUGCUUGCAAAGUAAACUGAUUUAUUUUGAAAGGAGGGUUCCAUCGUCAAGUGUGAGGACCAGUUAAGCACUGGGAAUUGUGACACUUUUUCCAUACGUCCAAGAUCCUUUCUCCAAACGUGGAUAUGAACACUACUAUGAUCCUGAGGGUAAUACUCUCUUCAUUGAAUGGAGGAUCAAGACAGUUCAACGUAACACCUGUGCUGGCUCCCGGUGUCAUUCCAAGACUGUUCUUCAGGAUGGUCCAAAAACCAGAUGAGAAUCUCUGUUAACUUGUCAACAGCUGUUUGGUGAGGAGUGCAGGGAGGCGAUAUCUACAAUACGAUAUUCCACUGAUGAAUCUGUGGUCAAAGAGAAGAUGAGAGCGCCUUUCCAGUAUCGACAAAAGAUGGUUGGUGAGGAUGCAUCAUCUUCAGUCCUGGAUUUGUUCCCUCGUUUCCUUGAUGUACCUGGAUUGGUGAUCAACCAGGAUUUCUCCAUGAUGGUUGGUGACGAAGUGUCUCAGAAGAUCCUGGAAAAGUGGUCAACAUUCUUCAAGCCAAAAAUCAUUGCAAACUGCAAGACUCUUAAGAAUAUGGGGGAGCUGCUGUCAGGAACUGAACCUGAAUCUGAAGACUACAAUGGAUGAGACAGCGAUAUGUCCUCAAUCCUUUUGCUGCUGCAUCUGCUCCCUCCAACCUCAAGAGGCCAGAAAAAAAAACAUCCAAGAUUAGUUCAGCUCAAGCAACCAGCCAUCUUGUGAGAUAUCUUAAGGAAGGAGCCAGUGUGACUACCUUCACUGAGAGUGCUGACACAAGACAACCAUUCCUCCUCUGCAUCAGUGAGCGAAAGAAGGAUAUCCAAAAGUUCUACGUUAUCGACCACCUGGUUUGAAUGCCAUACAGUCAUGGUGUCUUCUGCGCAACACUCCACUGAUAUUUGGUGAGGCCAUUGAAAGGAAUAACAAUCACUGGAACUUUCACCUGCUUUUGAUACAGAUUGUCAAUAUAGUGUUCUCUUACACCAUAACUGAUGUGAUGUUACUUAAAACAUCUGAUCUGUGAUCACCAUGCUCUAUUCAAAGAAUUGUUUGCUGACAAGAGGUUGAUUCCCAAGCACCACUUGAUGAUACACUAAACGAGAUGCAUAAAAAAAUUGGCCCUCUUAUGUGGUGCAUGCGAUUUGAAGCUAAGCACCAUAUUUUCAAAAGAUGUGGCAACAAUUUCAAGAAUCUCAUUAAAUCAUUAGUAGAGCAACAUCGUCAAUUGGCAUUUAACUCUGAAAAUUAUUGUUUUAGAAGGUUUGAAUUUGGUCCUACAACAUUAAAAACCAUCUGUAAAUUGCAUGGUGGGGAAGAACUGUCAGACAUUAUAUUUAGAAGCCUGUCUAAAGAGUUUUUCAAGUACAGACAUUAUGGUAGUGAGUAUCAGGUUGGUUUGUUCAUAUGCACUGGAUGUACCUAUGAUCUCCCUGUGUUCAAAAAGAUCUGUGAGAUAAUAAUAUAUGAAGAGACUGCUUUCAUAAUUUCCUGUAAUGUAAACCCCCCACCCCUUCAACCUCUGCAGCAAUGCUGGCAGCACUCAUAUGUCUAUUUCCCAAAGACAACCUCUGGAUAUGACACUGAGCACGAGCAUCUGUGGGGCAUCCUCAAACGGAAGGUGGAGGAGCACAAGGUCUCUAACAUCAACCAGCUCCAUGAUGUCGUCAUGGAGGAGAGGAACAGGACUCCAGUGGCAACCUGUGAAGCUCUGUUGAUCUCCAUGCCCAAGAGGGUUAAGGCAGUGCUGGAAAAUAAUGGUGGCCACACAAAUUAUUGACACUUUGGGCCCAAUUUGGGCAUUUUCACUUAGGGGUGUACUCACUUUUUUUGCCAGUGGUUUAGACAUUAAUGGCUGUGUGUUGGGUAAUUUUGAAGGGACAGCAAAUUUACACUGUUAUACAAGCUGUACACUCACUACUUUACAUUGUAGCAAAGUGUCAUUUCUUCAGUGUUGUCAUAUGAAAACAUGUAAUUAAAUAUUUACAAAAAUGUGA